rnacentral:lncRNA from 1 species
UUCUUCUCUAUUUUAUAACCGAAUUACCUGUCACUUUAAUUGUCUCUCCAAGUUCUAAAUUUUACCUCCUGUGGUUCUCAACGGUCUAGUUUCAAGGGUGUUUGUUGUCUUUUCCAUCCCUGCUGGCCGUACUUCCUUAGCAGCUUUCAUGUCUGGAUUUGUCAGGCAAGUGGGUGGGGGUUUGCGGUUGGAAUCAUUAUGUUAUGUCCACUCUUAUUUUCAACCUGGGCGCACCUCAUAGAAAUAUUACUCCUAUUCGAUUUUUAGGUUUUUUACUUCCAUGGGAACACGUGACCAUGCGUGUUUUGGGAAUCCAACUGAUCAAACAGCAGAGUUACAGUAGAGUCGUCUUAGUCCCCCUGCUCUGUCCUGUUGUUCCCAUGUAAAAAAAUUAAAUGCCAGUCUUUUCAUAUUCUUGGGAGUACACUCGCGCCCACCCCAGUGGCUUCUGUUCCUAAUGACCCACUCUCUCUCCCCUUUAAAAGAAGGGACCUUAAUGCCCUACAGGGGCUAUAAACCCUCGAAAAGAGUAAAUCUAAAGGUCCCUUUUUUUUCAUGUUCCCAAAGCACCCAUUUUGGGUGGAAAAUCACUAAGAUGUUCAAAAAGGGGUGAGGUUGAAUUUGGACUAGGACUGGGAUGGCCAUGCCAUAAACUGUGAAAAUAGAGAGAGAGAGAGAACAGGGCAUGCAUGCAUGUGUAUAAACAGAGAAAAAGUGGGUGAAGAGCGAGGUGGGUAGGAUUGGCCUUUUGCUUUGAAUAUUAUAGGGCAAAAGCCCAGGUCAGAAUUUGGGUGGUUAGUAGGGGAGUAUGACUCAUUAGAUUCUUUACAAUUUGCUUUCCAGCCAAUUGAUGUGGGAUCCACUUAUUCUAUGCAACUGCAUUGGACCCCCCCCCACCCCCACGUCUGAAAUUAACUGGACUCUACACAACUUGGGUUCAAGGUCCUGUACUCAACCUACUGAUUGCUUUAAAAAUGGGUGAGGAGAGUACUUGUUUGUGGACUUUUUGCCCCUCGAGUCCUGGACUUUGUUCAUUGCCCUUUAAAACCCUUCCCUAUUUCCAUACUCUUGUGUCUAGGUGGUAUUAUUGUUCAAAACAGUGUUAUUCUUCAUACUCUGUUUCAAGACUUGGUUAUUUGUCACUAGGUUAGUGUUCCCCCCUACCCAGAAGAUAUGAACAUGAUAUUUGUUACCUUACGGAAAAAUCCCAGUAACCUUUACUAAAAUGAAUUGAACCACUUUACUUCAAAAUGCUUUUGUGUAGUAUGAGCGUUGAAGGAGGCCGGGGGGUGGGGGGGUUAUAUGGGGGAACAUAAGACAUCUGACACGAAUAUUCUAAGCCUGUCAACUCUCCUACUAACAAAGAUUUGAUGUUUUCAUAUUGAUGCUUUCGACUCAUCACAUUCAAAACCCCCUUUUCCUGUGGGGGGUUAUAUGGAGGAACAUAAGACAUCUGACAAGAAUAUUCUAAGCCUUUCAACUCUCCUACUAACAAAGAUUUGAUAAUGCUUUUCUCUUGUUUUCCUAUUGAUGCUUUCGACUCAUCGCAUUCAAAACCCCCUUUUCCUGUGGUUGUUUUGAAUCAAUGCAAGUGCCUCCAGAGGAGCAAUUUGUUAAAUGAGAAAUUCUUUUGCAACAUUCAGAUUCUUUUUGCACAUAUACUUGUCAACUUUUCACAAGUUUUCCCACUGGGUUCCUCUUCAAAUUUCGAUCACCCCAACUUCUCUUUAACUCUCUGUUUUUCAUAAUCCUAUACCCUUUAUUUUAAGUGUGGGAUUCAAUUGAGAAUGAAGUAUACUCAUAUGAUGGCAUGCAUAGAGCUUCCUUGUAUGAAAAUCAGGGACAUUCAAAAAAGUAUUAACAUCUUCAAAAGCAGACUUGUGUACUGAAUCACAUGAGAGACCCCCAUCAAUUUAUUGUCAUUUUAUUCAGAAAAAAAUGUCCACAAAAGGGCAAGAGAAUCUGUUGUACACUUGUUAUUUUUACUGUGAAGCCCACCAGAUGUCAUCAUUUGUCAUACAGGGAUGACUCCAUGGGCGUAUCGUAUCCGGGGUUCAGCAGUGGGGGGACCAGCAGCAGCAUAAGCAACAAUGGUGGUCACGGGUCCAGCGAUGAUCCUGAUUACUUUGGGAUGAUAUUCGGGAGUGGGAGCGGGAGCGGCGCACCACCGCCACCCUCAGUUACAAUCCCUAUGUUUUUUUCUCUUUUAAUUAUCUUAAUUUUGUACGUUACCAUCAACCAUGGUGGUGUAUUAUUAUUUCUCUAAUGGAAGCUUAAAGAAAAGCAAAUGAUUUUAAAGGAACAGAAAAAAGAAAAAAA